rnacentral:rRNA from 1 species
AUUGAACGCUGGCGGCAGGCCUAACACAUGCAAGUCGAACGAGUGGCGGACGGGUGAGUAAUGUCUGGGAAACUGCCUGAUGGAGGGGGAUAACUACUGGAAACGGUAGCUAAUACCGCAUACCAUCGGAUGUGCCCAUAUGGGAUUAGCUUGUAGGUGAGGUAAAGGCUCACCUAGGCGACGCUCCCUAGCUGGUCUGAGAGGAUGACCGGCCACACUGGAACUGAGACACGGCACAGACUCCUACGGGAGGCAGCAGUGGGGAAUAUUGCACAAUGGGCGCAAGCCUGAUGCAGCCAUGCCGCGUGUAUGAAGAAGGCCUUCGGGUUGUAAAGUACUUUCAGCGGGGAGGCGUUACCCGCAGAAGAAGCACCGGCUAACUCCGUGCCAGCAGCCGCGGUAAUAC